rnacentral:lncRNA from 10 species
GUAAUGGAUUCACUGGAUUACAGUCUGGUCUAAGAAUGUCAAAUUCAGAAACUAUGCAACUUCAAUGUGGCAAAGACCUCGUAAAGAGCCAACGAACAGAAGAAGAAAAGAAUCGACCCCAAGGCUGAAGAACUGUUAUCCCUCUGCAGUACAUGGGGGUUUGAGCUCACGUCAAUGUGCCUGACCUAAGGGCAAAUGGAGCUAAGCAGGAGGGAGAAUUAGACACUUGCCACGGCUUGGAGACAGGGUCUACUGCUCUCUGCUGAACCAGAGGAAAGAACACACUGGCUCCUGAACCUUCGCAGGAAGACAAGGCGAGGGCUGCUGGGUGCCCGUCGCUGCUCACAGCACAGAACGUCCCACUCCUCAGACUCUUUGUCCCCGUCCUAAGACUGUCCUUCACUUGGUCCAUCCAAUCCAAAAUAUGGGCAUACGAAACACACCUCAUCCUUCACACACACAACAUGCUCAACCUUCACUAGCCACGUGACUUUCUUUCUCACAUCAUCCUGAAUUUGCUUUUCUGAAAUUUACUUUUCAAUCUUCUGACUUUUCUUCAUACCUAAGAAGACUGGACAAAGUGCUUGAAAAGCAAAUGGAAACAUUUUAUGAAUAACUACGCAAAGGAAAGACAUAUAAAUAUUUUUAAAGGCAAGUUUUUAACGUUAAUGGUUCAAUGAAAUACCUCUCCUAUGUUAUCUUAAUUUUUUACUACAAACAUACCAGGAAAACAAAUGUGAUGGGCAGCUCUACUUUUGUUGGGAUACUUAUGGGAAAUACUAUACAUCACUAAAUUGCAUUAACUAAAAAAAGAUUUGGAAAUUGCCCAGGGAAAACAUGAUCAGGAGAAUUUUGUGAGGAAGAGCACUACUCCUCCAGCCACAUUUUCUGAAUCAGGGAUAAAAACUCUUCGUUUCCUAUUGUUUUUAACUCCCAUUAGACUGGCAUACAUUUAAAGACAUAAGGAACUAGUAAUAUAGAAAGGAAGGAAGGAAAGGAGGAGGAGGAGUGGGUUAGAAAGAAGCUUCUGUCAGACCUCGUCAGAUUAAGGUCAAGUAUAGAAUUCUCAUUAGUUUCCAGUUCAUUUAAAUUCGGGCUACAGUGAUUUGAAAGUAACCUCCAUCAUCCUGGUAGAUAGAGGACAAGUAAGCAGGUCUGCAGGGCUACACAGAGAGAGUGACUUGUUGCUUCCUAAGUUACAACCAAAAGAUACUCAGAAUUGCUUCUGAGCCAAGGUUUUUGUUUGGUUUGGUUUUGUCAUUUCGGUCAAACUCUUUGAAGAGGGAUUCCAUGGAGAAAAGCUUUGCCCAUGCCCAGUCUGGCCAUACAACCCAACACAGGCUGCUCUCAGUUAGCUCCGUGCAACAGACUUGAGAGAUUGCAGCAGUUUCCUUGAUUCUUAACUGCUUUUAUUUUCCAUUUUUAUUUAAGAUACUUAAUUUGUUUUUAGUGAUUUACUCUUCUUUGUAAUUAGAUUUAGUGAUUAGCGAUUAUCUUUUCCUUGGCAAUGCAGUUUCCCUUCUACAGAAAUGAGCUUAAGUCAACACUACAGUUGCCACUAAGUGUAAGGAUUCGUGAAGGGGAAAACGACGGACUCCCUUCCCUCUGUUCUUCUCAAGUAAUGCAAAUUAGAGGUAAGACAAAGAAAGAAGUAAUUAGCAGGAGGGAGGCAACAAAAUGGAUAUUUUAAAUGCAGAAUCCAUUCAUAACAUAGCACUUCUCAAGAGAGCUCUUCUAAUAGAUUACCUUGCUGAAAUGCAUUAUUUAAGCUUUAGUUGUUCAGAGGUAGAAGUAAAUGCAUUUCCUCUGCAUUGGUGCAUAAUGCGCUUCAAAUAAAUGCAGGUCAACAUGAGGCUACUUGUUUGUUUUUGCAAAAUCGGGUAUCAGUACAAAGGCAGGAGGAGGUAGAAGGAGCUGUUAAUACCUAUGGAUGCGAGGUAGGUGUCCAGACAUACUUUCAUGAUAAUGUUCAAUACAUAUGGCAAAAUGUUACACUGUAAAUUCUAAGGAUAUUUUUUUUUUAAAUAUAGUUUUCCUUAAAAAAUCAGCUAAAAUAAAUGCAUCCUUUUUCACAAGGGAGUUUCACAAAUGGUUUCAUCACUUUCUUCCCGAUUCUAAGUGUUGGCCUCAUAAUUUGUGAGAAUUUCAUU